rnacentral:rRNA from 1 species
GCUAAUACCGGAUAACAUUUUGAACUGCAUGGUUCGAAAUUGAAAGGCGGCUUCGGCCGUCACUUAUGGAUGGACCCGCGUCGCAUUAGCUAGUUGGUGAGGUAACGGCUCACCAAGGCAACGAUGCGUAGCCGACCUGAGAGGGUGAUCGGCCACACUGGGACUGAGACACGGCCCAGACUCCUACGGGUGGCAGCAGUAGGGAAUCUUCCGCAAUGGACGAAAGUCUGACGGAGCAACGCCGCGUGAGUGAUGAAGGCUUUCGGGUCGUAAAACUCUGUUGUUAGGGAAGAACAAGUGCUAGUUGAAUAAGCUGGCACCUUGACGGUACCUAACCAGAAAGCCACGGCUAACUACGUGCCGGCAGCCGCGGUAAUACGUAGGUGGCAAGCGUUAUCCGGAAUUAUUGGGCGUAAAGCGCGCGCAGGUGGUUUCUUAAGUCUGAUGUGAAAGCCCACGGCUCAACCGUGGAGGGUCAUUGGAAACUGGGAGACUUGAGUGCAGAAGAGGAAAGUGGAAUUCCAUGUGUAGCGGUGAAAUG